UGUAAAGUAAUUAUUCGUAUACAGUUUGGUUGGCUUGGUUUUUAGAACAGCUUUACUAAUCAGAAAAGUUGCCAACAAAUGUUUGACCAAAGUAAUUUUGAAGCUCUUUUCAUGACGAAAGCUUUUUAAGCUAAGAAAUAAAAGUUCUAAUUUGAAUCUUUUACCUUGCAACGAAAAAAUAUAAUCUAUUCACGGAUAUUAUAGUACUGAAAUAUCGGUCUUUGGCAAUUG
rnacentral:lncRNA from 1 species